CCUAGACCAAUUUCUGGGAUCAUAAUGUAGCAAGUCCUCUUUUAUUUCCUUCUUACCUAGCUGGGACAUUGCAUGAACUUCUUCUCCAAACUUGACUUCAAAGGAGGCCUUUGAGCAUCUCCAAAACUGUUUCCUUCUUUCUUCUCCUUUCCAGUUCACAUGCCAGUUACUCCAUAUAUGUCUAGCACACAUCCUUUUCUCAGCAGUUGGUAACAACUCUGACAAGACAGGAAUAAGUCCCUAACAAAAAAUAUGUACAGAAUAAGUAAUUGAAG
rnacentral:lncRNA from 1 species